rnacentral:rRNA from 1 species
UACGAAGGGGGCUAGCGUUGCUCGGAAUUACUGGGCGUAAAGGGAGCGUAGGCGGAUAGUUCAGUCAGAGGUGAAAGCCCAGGGCUCAACCUUGGAACUGCCUUUGAUACUGGCUAUCUUGAGUUUGGGAGAGGUGUGUGGAACUCCGAGUGUAGAGGUGGAAUUCGUAGAUAUUCGGAAGAACACCAGUGGCGAAGGCGACACACUGGCCCAAUACUGACGCUGAGGCUCGAAAGCGUGGGGAGCAAACAGG